rnacentral:lncRNA from 1 species
ACCGGUUCUCGAUUCCUGAUUUCAAUCCUUUUUUUUUCCGAUUCCGAUCCCAUCGGUAUCAUUUGGUGCUUUCAUCGGUUGAACUCUACACUUUGAUUUUUCAUAAAAACAGAUGGCAAACAACAUGGAUCUGUCCUCAAAUCCAGACUUCAUCAGGCUCCAAUCACUGCAAUUGAACCAAAUAAAGGAUAUGGGUGAACUUAGGACUUCAGUGAAUAAUAAUUUUUUGGAGUUGAGCAAGCAAAUGUCAGAUUUAUGUGCCAAGUUUUUAGCCUUACCUGCAACAGGAAAUUCAGCAACACCCCCUGAGAAUAGAGUACAGAUACACAGACAGACCGUGGAGACAACUAAUGUCAUUAAACAGCCCCAACCCUACUACCAAUCUGUGGUGAAUUUAGACAACCCGAGUUAUGCUUCCACUAUCAUGGAGGACCCAAACUACAUUCCAGCAAAACACAUUAAGGUUAAUAUGCCGAGAUUUGAUGGUACUGAGGUGGAACACUGGCUUUAUUCAGUAAGAAGAUACUUCAUUUUUAAUAAAGUGCCUGAGAAUCAGAAGCUAUUAAUAGUAUCAUUCCAUCUGGAUGGCAUUGCAAGAAAAUGGUUUGCCUGGUUAGAGGCCAGCAAUAUGCUGUCUACCUGGCCUAACUUUGUGGAUGCUGUAGUGAGGAAAUUUUCUAAUUUACACUACCAAUUGCCCGGUGGUAAAUUGAGCAAAUUGGUUCAAGAGGGAACAGUGGCAGAAUACCAAGCUGCGUUUGAAGAGAUGUGCACACGGGUCUUGGGUUUACCGGAAUAUUUUAUACUAGAGAUGUAUGUAUCUGGUCUGAAGGAGGAAAUUCAGGCUGAUGUUAUACUAGGGAAGCCAAAUGAUAUUCAUGAGGCUUUCGAGAUGUCACUGAUGAUCGAGUCAAGAAGAGGAUCAGGUCGAGCUUCAACCUACAAACCUUAUGUGCCAAAGCAAGCUAAAACCUACGUUAACCAGGAACAUCCGCAGUACCGAACUAUUGCUGGUCUCAAACAGCAAAAUACAUCAGUCCCGGAAAUUCCAGCCACUAAGAGAUUAUCUGCAGCUG